GGGAAUUUCGUCAAACACGUGACCACAACCAUUAUCUGCAAAAAUACUAUAUUGGCCAAAAAAGUUAGUAUUUAAGAACUUGAUAGUUGAUACUACAAGAUAAUGAGAAAAAAAUCAUGCAUGAGCAGAAUAAUCAAUUAACAGAACAUUUGCAUAUCCAUAAAGUGAGGGAUUCAAUCUUUAACUCUGCCCUCCACUCUAAUCUCUCUAGAGUAAGAACAACACUGGCAAACUUGGACUAAACUCGAUUGUUUUGUCCCCAAAAAUAAGCCAAACUUCAUCUGCACGUUCAACUAUUUCCUCUUCUUCACCUUUU
rnacentral:misc_RNA from 1 species